rnacentral:rRNA from 1 species
UGGNUCAGCUGGGGGCGUGCGGUGGGUACGGGCUGGCUUGAGUGCGGUAGGGGAGACUGGAACUCCUGGUGUAGCGGUGGAAUGCGCAGAUAUCAGGAGGAACACCGGUGGCGAAGGCGGGUCUCUGGGCCGUUACUGACGCUGAGGAGCGAAAGCGUGGGGAGCGAACAGGAUUAGAUACCCUGGUAGUCCGCGCUGUAAACGUUGGGCACUAGGUGUGGGGGGCCUUUUCCGGGUUUUCCGCGCCGUAGCUAACGCAUUAAGUGCCCCGCCUGGGGAGUACGGCCGCAAGGCUAAAACUCAAAGGAAUUGACGGGGGCCCGCACAAGCGGCGGAGCAUGCGGAUUAAUUCGAUGCAACGCGAAGAACCUUACCAAGGCUUGACAUGGGCUGGAUUGCUUCGGAGACGGGGUUUCCCUUUUUUGGGCUGGUUCACAGGUGGUGCAUGGUUGUCGUCAGCUCGUGUCGUGAGAUGUUGGGUUAAGUCCCGCAACGAGCGCAACCCUUGUCUCGUGUUGCCAGCACGUUGUGGUGGGGACUCGCGGGAGACUGCCGGGGUUAACUCGGAGGAAGGUGGGGAUGACGUCAAAUCAUCAUGCCCCUUAUGUCUUGGGCUUCACGCAUGCUACAAUGGCCGGUACAGUGGGUUGCGAUGCUGUGAGGCGGAGCGAAUCCCUGAAAGCCGGUCUCAGUUCGGAUCGGUGUCUGCAACUCGACACCGUGAAGUUGGAGUCGCUAGUAAUCGCAGAUCAGCAGCGCUGCGGUGAAUACGUUCUCGGGCCUUGUACACACCGCCCGUCACGUCAUGAAAGCUGGCAACACCCG